GCCUACGGGUGGCUGCAGUGGGGAAUUUUGGACAAUGGGGGCAACCCUGAUCCAGCCAUGCCGCGUGAGUGAAGAAGGCCUUCGGGUUGUAAAGCUCUUUCGGCCGGGAAGAAAUCGUGUGGGCUAAUACCCUGCAUGGAUGACGGUACCGGAAUAAGAAGCACCGGCUAACUACGUGCCAGCAGCCGCGGUAAUACGUAGGGUGCGAGCGUUAAUCGGAAUUACUGGGCGUAAAGCGUGCGCAGGCGGUUUGGUAAGACAGGCGUGAAAUCCCCGGGCUCAACCUGGGAACUGCGCUUGUGACUGCCUCACUAGAGUACGGCAGAGGGGGGUGGAAUUCCACGUGUAGCAGUGAAAUGCGUAGAGAUGUGGAGGAACACCGAUGGCGAAGGCAGCCCCCUGGGUCGAUACUGACGCUCAUGCACGAAAGCGUGGGUAGCAAACAGGAUUAGAUACCCCAGUAGUC
rnacentral:rRNA from 1 species